rnacentral:tRNA from 1 species
GCCCCGUUGGCUCAGUGGUAAAGCGUGUCACUAGUAUUGCUUAUUUCAUACUGUUACCAUGACAAGAUCACUGGUUCGAUUCCAGUACGGGGCA